rnacentral:lncRNA from 10 species
GACAGAGCGAGACUCCGUCUCAAAAAAAAAAAAAAAAAAAAAAGAAGUGCAAAAUCUGUACUUUGAAAAAAAAUUGUUGAAUAAAAUUAAAGUAGACCUAAAUAAAUGGAUAGUUUAUGUACAAGAUUCAGAAAACUUAAUAUUGCUAAUAUAAUUAUGUUCAAGUUGAUCCACAGAUACAAUACAAAGUAAAAAUCCCUAUCAAAAUCCCAGCUAACUGCUUUGGAGAAAUUGAUAAGCUGAUCUUAAAAUUCAUAUGAAAAUUUAAGAGGCCCCAAAUAGCCAAAAUAAUCUUGAAAAAGAACAAAGAUGGAUACAUACUUCCUGAUUUUAAAACUUACUAUAUAUAUAUGCAAUACCAUUGAUAUUAUUAUUUGAGACAGAGUCUCGCUCUGUCUCCCAGGCUGGAGUGCAGUGGCACGAUCUCGGCUCACUGCAACCUCUGCCUCCUGGGUUCAAGCGAUUCUCCUGCCUCAGAUUCCUGAAUAGCUGGGAGUACUGGCGCACGCCACCAUGCCUGACUAAUUUUUGUAUUUUUAAUAGAGAUGGGGUUUCACCACCGGGUGCGGUGGCUCACGCCUGUAAUCUCAGCACUUCGGGAGGCUGAGGCGGGCAGAUCACAAGGUCAGGAGUUCGAGACCAGCCUGGCCAAUAUGGUGAAACCCCGUCUCUACUAAAAAUACAAAAAUUAACCAGUCAUGGUGGUGGGCACCUGUAGUCACAGCUACUCAGGAGGCUUAGGCAGGAGAAUCGCUUGAACCCAGCAGGCAGAGGUUGCAGUGAGCCGAGAUCGUGCCACUGCACUCCAGGCUGGGUGACAGAGUGAGACUGUCUCAAAAGAAAAAAAAAAAAAAGAGAUGGGGUUUCACCAUAUUGGUCAGGCUGGUCUUGAACUUUUGACCUCGUGAUCUGCCCGACUUGGCCUCCCAAAGUGCUGGGAUUACAGGUGUGAGCCACCGUGCCCAGUACAUUGAUAUUAUAUUUAAUUAUGUAUAUGCAAUAUUAUAAUAUUAUAUAUAAUAUCAAUGGUAUUGCAUUGAGAGUUUAGAAAUAAGCCCUCACAUUUCCAGACAACUUAUUUUCAACAAAGGUGUCAAAAUAAUCAUUGUGGGGAAAUAAUCAUCUUUUCAACAAAUGGUGGUGGGAAACUGGGUUUUCAGAGAAAGAGGAGGGAACAAAAAUUCACCGAAGAAAAAAUGUUUGGAAGUCUUGUCCUAGAGCAUCAAACAGUGGUGAGCCACUGAGGCUACCUUCACGCCACACUCCAAGUUCUGGGGCUACUCCCAGGUCCCUGAGAUAGAGCUCAUUCCUAUCAAAGCUUUGUGGUGAACCUUUCAUCCCAAAGUUUUUAUGGUUGGGCCAUUGUUACUCUGGGUGCUCUUUGCUGUAGAUUUUGCCUCCAGGACAAAUACAGUGGUGGGGCAAGAUUUGAAAAAUACAAAACAGGCCAGGCAUGGUGGCUCACACCUGUAAUCCCAGCACUUUGGGAGACCGAGGUGGGUGGAUCACCUGAGGUCAGGAGUUUGAGACCAGCCAGAGCAAUGUGGUGAAACCCCGUCUCUACUAAAAAUACUAAAAUUAGCUGGGUGUGGUGGUGGGCGUCUGUAAUCCCAGCUACUUGGGAGGCUGAGGCAGGAGAAUCGCUUGAACCUGGGAGAUGGAGGUUGCAGUGAGCCGAGAUCGCGCCAUUGCACUCCAGCCUGGGUGACAAGAGCAAAACUCCGUCUCCAAAAAAAAAAAGAAAAAUACAAAACACACAGUGAGCUUACGUUACACGUGACCUUCUCGCUCCAUCCAGGGGUCAUCAAUAACAAUAAACCUAAGCCUAACCCAGCAUGCUUCAACUGUUUUCAAAGAAAGAGUGACAAAGCUUCUUCCAUACUUUACAUAUGGAAGUUCUCACAAUAUUUCUGAACAAAAUCACAGAAUAAAAAACUGCCAUAUUUGUGAGCUAGGAAAAAAAAAUACCUGGGACAUUUUUGUUUUUUAAGAGACAAGGCCUCACUCUGUCACCCAGGCUGGAGUGCAGUGGCAUGAUCAUAGCUUAUGGCAGUUUCUAACUCUUGGGCUCAGAUGAUCCCUCCUGCCUCAGGCUCCCAAGUAGCUGGAACUACAGGCAUGCACCACACCUGGCCAAUUUUUAUUUCUUUUGUAGAAAUAGGGUCUUGCUAUGUUGCCUAGGCUUGUCUCAAACUUCUGGACUCAAGCUAUCCUCCCACCUCUGCCUCCCAAAGUGUUGGGAUUACAGGCAUGAGCCACUGCUUCCAGCCUCAAUUGCUCUCUGCUUUAAUAAUUAUUAAUACACAGCCAGUCUUUGUCUGAUCUAGAACCCAUCCAUUCAAACUUCCCCCCAAGAUUUUUUACCUUUUAAUAAAAUUUGAUCUGUAGGUAUUUUUGUCUGUCUAAAAACUAAAGAAUUUUAUAAACAAGAAUCAUAAUUGGGUUUAAUUUUUAAAUGCCUAGUCCUAUCUAAAAGCUGCAGUGUCCUGUUGUACCCCCAGUGAAUAAUAUCAAACUGACUGCCCACAAUCUUCACUAUUAUAAGGUAAAAGUUGAAACCCUACAAAACCCUCAUUUUCAUGGAAACAGUCUUCUCACAACAAAACACAUUGAGUUCUCUACCAAAGGCACUCACCUUGGGAAGACAUGUCGAAACUCCAGUCCAGGGCCUUUCCAACUGAAAAAAUAAUGAAUUGUAAAGCUGAAUUACUUUAAAUAUACUCAGAGGUGCCCACCCUAAUCACGCCUCCACCCUAGUCAUGCUUUUUUGAUUUAUUUACAGAACCCACCUUUUCAAAUCCUAUCUUCUAUUCAUUGAGAUUAAUUUUCUUCUUUAAUUCUUUAAUAUCACAUUUUCAUCCUCAUUUUACAGGUAAGAACCUUUGGUGUAGAAUGGUUCAGAGCCCAGGGUCAGCUCUCCGACCCUGGCCGUCUGACAGCUGAUUCCAUGCCUGUCACCACACACUUAUUCUAUAUAACAGCGAUUCUGUACACUCUUGUGAGAACUAAAAAUAAAAUUCCAAGUCCCCCAAACAACUCAAUGGACUGACCCCUUUAGUCAAAGGGACCUCAGAGAAACCUUAAAAACUGAGUUCUGGCAGGGCGUGGUAGCUCACACCUGUAAUCCCAGCACUUUGGGAGGCUGAGGUGGGGGGUCACCUGAGGUCAGGAGUUGGAGACCACCCUGGCCAACAUGGCGAAACCCCGUCUCCACAAAAAGUUCAAAAAUUAGCUGGGCGUGAUGGUGGAUGCCUGUAAUCCCAGCUACUCGGGAGGAUGAGGCAGGAUAAUCGCUUGAACCUGGGAGGCGGAGGUUGCAGUGUGCUGAGAUCACGCCACUGCACUCCAGCCUGGGUGACAGAGCAAGACUCUGUCUCAAAAAAAAAGCAAAAAAACCCCCAAAAACUGAGUUCCCAGCCGUGAUGAGAUGGGAUGUCAGACAUACCUCAUUAUAUUUCUCACUUUUGUGGUUUAGACACAGCUGACCAGCAUUAAUAUUUAAAUGGAGAUCAUGAGACUGACAAAAUGAACUCUUGGUGGCAAUAAAACCAAAUUAGUAAACAGGACCUAAGGCACUGUGAGGCAUGGAUUAAGUUUCACGCAGUCUUUUACUUAAAGAAUAAACUAUGCGCUGGGCAUGGUGGCUCACGCCUGUAAUCCCAGCACUUUGGGAGGAAGAGGCAGGAGGAUCCCUUGAGGUCAGGAGUUCAAGACCAGCCUGGUCAACAUGGUGAAACACCCCGUCUCUACUAAAAAUACAAAAAAAUUAGCCAGGCACUGUGGCGUG